CUUACUUAGGGAUCUGUCUGACUCCCAAUUCCCAAGGACUGACAAUUGACAGAGCACAGGCGAUAUGAGACCUACAGCCUCCCACUUCUGCGGAACAGAUCUUGUCCUUUCUAGGGCUGGUAGGAUUCUUCCACCAUUGGGUCCCAAAUUUUGCUCUCCUAGCUAAGCCUCUAUACCAGGCCGCUAAAGAAACACCAAUAGACCCCUCUUUUCACCCUCCCUCGUUCCCCAGGGUUUUUCUAAGCUCCGGGAUGCCCUUCUGGCAUCUCCCCUCCUCUCUCUCCCGGACAUCUCUAAGCCUUUCCAACUAUUUACUGAUGAGAAACAGGGAAUAGCCAUGGGGGUCCUCACCCAGCCCCUAGGGCCAGCCUUCACCCCAGUAGCCUACCUGUCCAGACAGCUUGAUCCCACAGUUCGGGGAUGGCAGCCCUGACUCUGGGCUCUGGCUGCAGCAGCUGCUCUCACCAAGGAGGCCCAGAAGAUCUGCCUCCAGCAACCCUUACUGGUCUUCUCCGCCCAUAGAGUACAGGAUCUUUUGUCCCACUGAUCCUUAUCUCUCCUUGCCCCCUCUCUCAUGCAGGAACUCCAUCUCCUGCUCCUUGAGAGUCCUGACAUCUCCCUAACCCAGUCCCCAGCCCUGAACCCAGCCACUCUCCUUCCUGCUGCCUCCACCCAACGGAUGGCAAUGCACUCCUGCCCCGAGGUCGUCGAGGCUCUCACUCAACCUCAGGAGGGACUCUCAGAUAUCCCUCUCUCUAAUCCUGACUUAACUCUGUUUGAAGCUCGUGUCUAGACCCCCAAGGACGUCGGAAAGCAUCCUAUGCAGUAGUAAUGCUCGAGUGGACCCUGGAGAAGGCCCGGCUCCCGGAGGGUACCACCUCUCAAAAGGCUGAGCUUAUUGCACUGACCAGGGCCCUGCAUCUGGCCAAAGGGAGGAGGGUAAACAUAUAUACAGACUCUAACUAUGCCUUUCUGAUAGCCCAUUGCCACGUGGUUAUUUGGAGGGAGAGGGGCUUUCUCCACUAAAGGCUCACCUAUUAUUAAUGCUAGACUCAUAACCCGCUUACUUGAUGCCUUACAGCUUCCCUCCCAGGUAGCCAUCGUGCACUGCCAAGGCCAUCAGACUGACUCCUUGAUGGUUUCGCAGGGAAACACCAGAGCAGACGCGGUGGCCAGAGGCUUAACUCAGGGUGAAGGGUCCCCAGCCCUGGUCCUGUUCCUUUCCCUUCCCUCCAUUACCCCUCAGUAUACAGAAGAAAAGAAUAAACUCCUACAACGGGGAGGCUCUUCUGGUCCUGAGGGAUGGAUCUUCAUAAAUAACAAGAUCGCCCUUCCCAAGGCUCAGGUAGGGACCAUUGCCCAGCAGGUCCACCAGUCUUGCACACUGGACCGCUGGCGCUUUGGAGGUUCCUAGAACCCCUCUUCACCUCGCCCACACUGCGAGAGGCAGUCACGAGUGCCUGCUCCUCUUGCUCCACGUGUGCAGCUGUCUCACCCCAGGAAUGCGCCCCAACUUUCCUACCCAUCAAAUGAGGGGACACCUCCCAGGACAGGACUGGCAGGUAGACUUCACCCAUAUGCCUCCCCACAAGAAGACCAAAUAUCUGCUCACCAUGGUAGACAUGCUGACAGGGUGGGUAGAGGCCUUCCCUACCCGCAAGGAAACUGCUGAGGUUGUGGCCGAGACCCUAAUAACACAUAUAAUCCCUAGGUUCGGGCUCCCCAACUCCAUACAAUCAGACAAUGGCCCAGCUUUUAUAUCAAGGGUCAUUCAGCAGGUUGGUACCUCACUUGGCAUCUCCUGGAAACUGCUCAUACACUACAGCCCACAAUCAUCAGGUAAGGUUGAGAGGGCCAAUGGCCUCCUUAAAGACCAUCUAACAAAACUCUCUAGAAAUUCGCAGCUCCUGGCCGGAUCUCCUGCCCAUGGCCCUGACCAGAAUCCGGGCUACACCAAGGAACCCCACCUUCUUAAACCCUUUUGAACUCCUAUUUGGGAGACCCUUCUUGCUCAACCAUUGUCUCCCUACUGACCCUCCUCUUCUGGCUACUUAUCUUCCAUACCUGUCUCCUACUCAGGCAGCUGCUCCGGGAACAUGCUGACAGGUUUCUGCCCAGGCCAGAACCAGCUGACCAAGGCUCCUGAGUACCAGCCCUCCAGCCAGGGGACUCAGUCCUCCUUAAGAAUCUACAUCUGAAGGCCUUGGAGCCCAGGUGGACGGGACCUCACACAGUCAUCCUUACAACCCCCACCACAGCCAAACUACUUGGUGAUCCAUUGUGGCAUCACCUCUUCAGACUCAAGAGGACCCCGGAGCAGCAUGACUUCUAUAAAUGUGAGGUGUUGGGCCCCACUAAGGUUCGCCUUAGUGGCCCUCCCUCUCCUCCUUCUCCUCCCAGCCUUGGGCAACCUACACUCACCCCCCCACCUGCUUAUGUGUGGAGGUUCAAGGUCCGUGAAACCUAUGACCAGGACAGCACACAAGUCACCGGCAGCGGAACCCGGACAGGUGUAAUCAAGAAGUCAACACCUAUGGGGGUUUCCGCUGGUCAGGUUGUGUCAUCCAUGAUGCCUACAAAGAGGUCAGGUCUGGCCCCUUUCUCUGGAAGGACGGGACCUUCAACAUCAGGGUCCGGGAUCCCUGGGACCAGCGAUGGAUUGCGGGCGUUAUGGGAAAACUGUAUUGGAAUGGUUGGAGCCCCACCCCUUCAGGGACCAUCUACAUCUCCCGGGAUAUGUCAUGGCCCAGGAGGCCCAAAUCCAGUUCUCCAAUAGCAUCCUACAGGCUGAACAGUCCCUUAAAGGGAAGCUGCCUGAUUCCCCCUAGGUAGAAGUCCUGUCUUCUUGGCUCCAACUU